rnacentral:rRNA from 1 species
GACGAACGCUGGCGGCGUGCUUAACACAUGCAAGUCGUACGGUGAAGCGCCUUCCUUUUUGGUGGGUGUGGAUGAGUGGCGAACGGGUGAGUAACACGUGAGUAACCUGCCCCCUUCUUCUGGAUAACCGCAUGAAAGUGUGGCUAAUACGGGAUAUUCUGGGUCUGUCGCAUGAUGGGUCUGGGAAAGAUAUUGUUUCGGUGGGGGAUGGGCUCGCGGCCUAUCAGCUUGUUGGUGGGGUGAUGGCCUACCAAGGCGGUGACGGGUAGCCGGCCUGAGAGGGUGGACGGUCACACUGGGACUGAGACACGGCCCAGACUCCUACGGGAGGCAGCAGUGGGGAAUAUUGCACAAUGGGCGCAAGCCUGAUGCAGCGACGCCGCGUGAGGGAUGGAGGCCUUCGGGUUGUGAACCUCUUUCGCCAGUGAAGCAGGCCUGCCUCGUUUGUGGGUGGGUUGACGGUAGCUGGAUAAGAAGCGCCGGCUAACUACGUG